CUUGUCCCUUUUCUUCAUCGCCUUCCUCACCCCCAGAUUCUCCUCCAUCUGAUACACCAGCCACCGCCUUAGGAAAGUACAAAGGUCAUAGUCUCCACCAUGGGCAAGUAGGAGGUGUCAACAGCCUUGGAAAUCAAGGUUCAAACUUGGUGAUUCCCCAAAGCUAUGAAGCUAGGGCUGGAACCCUAGAAUCAGGAGCUGGAACUCUAGAAAUCUGGAGGUGGCAAGUCUAGUAUCUUAAUGGUUUCUUGAGUUGCUAGAUACAUAGACAAACAAGGGAGAGAGAGAGAGAGAAAGAGAGUUUUGGUAUCUUGGAAGUGGAGGAGUAAAAAGUCAGGAACUUGUUUUCAUCCGGAUACUUCACGUGAAAAUCGAUCGAGGUGACAAGUAAAUGAAUUUGAAGUUAUUUUACUGCAAGGGUGUUUUUAAUAAUGUGAUAUGCAUGUGUGUUAUUGCUAAUCAUGCCUGGGUUCCUAGGCAGGAACUUGGAAUAUAGUUGUCUUUUUGUUGUAACUGUUGGU